rnacentral:rRNA from 1 species
GACGAACGCUGGCGGCGUGCCUAACACAUGCAAGUCGAACGAAGCAUUGGAAGCUUGCUUUUGAUGCUUAGUGGCGGACGGGUGAGUAACGCGUGAGCAACCUGCCUUUCAGAGGGGGAUAACGUUUGGAAACGAACGCUAAUACCGCAUAACAUAUCUGGGUCGCAUGAUUGAGAUAUCAAAGGAGCAAUCCGCUGAAAGAUGGGCUCGCGUCCGAUUAGCUAGUUGGCGGGAUAACAGCCCACCAAGGCGACGAUCGGUAGCCGGACUGAGAGGUCGAACGGGCCACAUUGGGACUGAGACACGGGCCCAGACUCCUACGGGAGGCAGCAGUGGGGGAUAUUGCACAAUGGAGGAAACUCUGAUGCAGCAACGCCGCGUGAGGGAAGAAGGGAUUUCGGUUGUAAACCUCUGUCAUUGGUGACGAUAAAUGACGGUAGCCGAUGAGGGAAAGCUCCGGGCUAAACUACGUGCCAGCCGCCGCCGU